rnacentral:rRNA from 1 species
CGCUGGCGGCGUGCCUAAUACAUGCAAGUCGAGCGAACUGAUUAGAAGCUUGCUUCUAUGACGUUAGCGGCGGACGGGUGAGUAACACGUGGGCAACCUGCCUGUAAGACUGGGAUAACUUCGGGAAACCGAAGCUAAUACCGGAUAGGAUCUUCUCCUUCAUGGGAGAUGAUUGAAAGAUGGUUUCGGCUAUCACUUACAGAUGGGCCCGCGGUGCAUUAGCUAGUUGGUGAGGUAACGGCUCACCAAGGCAACGAUGCAUAGCCGACCUGAGAGGGUGAUCGGCCACACUGGGACUGAGACACGGCCCAGACUCCUACGGGAGGCAGCAGUAGGGAAUCUUCCGCAGUGGACGAAAGUCUGACGGAGCAACGCCGCGUGAGUGAUGAAGGCUUUCGGGUCGUAAAACUCUGUUGUUAGGGAAGAACAAGUACAAGAGUAACUGCUUGUACCUUGACGGUACCUAACCAGAAAGCCACGGCUAACUACGUGCCAGCAGCCGCGGUAAUACGUAGGUGGCAAGCGUUAUCCGGAGUUAUUGGGGCGUAAAGCGCGCGCAGGCGGUUUCUUAAGUCUGAUGUGAAAGCCCACGGCUCAACCGUGGAAGGUCAUUGGAAACUGGGGAACUUGAGUGCAGAAGAAGAAAGCGGAAUUCCACGUUUACCGGUGAAAUGCGUAGA